GGUAAACGCUGGCGGCGUGCCUAAAACAUGCAAGUCGAACGCUCCACUUCGGUGGGGAGUGGCAGACGGCUGAGUAACGCGUGGGUGACCUGCCUGGAGGUGGGGAAUAACUGCCCGAAAGGGUGGCUAAUACCGCAUACGCUCGGAGCUUCACUGAUCCGAGCAAAGUCUUUGGAUGCCUCCAGGGGGCCGGCCGUCGUA
rnacentral:rRNA from 1 species